UGGGGAAUAUUGCACAAUGGGCGCAAGCCUGAUGCAGCCAUGCCGCGUGUGUGAAGAAGGCCUUCGGGUUGUAAAGCACUUUCAGCGAGGAGGAAGGUGGUGAGCUUAAUACGCUCAUCAAUUGACGUUACUCGCAGAAGAAGCACCGGCUAACUCCGUGCCAGCAGCCGCGGUAAUACGGAGGGUGCAAGCGUUAAUCGGAAUUACUGGGCGUAAAGCGCACGCAGGCGGUUUGUUAAGUCAGAUGUGAAAUCCCCGGGCUCAACCUGGGAACUGCAUUUGAAACUGGCAAGCUAGAGUCUCGUAGAGGGGGGUAGAAUUCCAGGUGUAGCGGUGAAAUGCGUAGAGAUCUGGAGGAAUACCGGUGGCGAAGGCGGCCCCCUGGACGAAGACUGACGCUCAGGUGCGAAAGCGUGGGGCAGCAAACAGGAUUAGAUACCCCUGGUAGUCCAGCGCUGUAAAACGAUGUCGAUUUUGGAGGUUGUGCCCUUGAGGCGUGGCUUCCGGAGCUAACGCGUUAAAUCGACCGCCUGGGGAGUACGGCCGCAAGGUUAAAAC
rnacentral:rRNA from 1 species